UGCAAGUCGAACGGCAGCACAGAAGAGCUUGCUCUUUGGGUGGCGAGUGGCGGACGGGUGAGUAAUGUCUGGGAAACUGCCCGAUGGAGGGGGAUAACUACUGGAAACGGUAGCUAAUACCGCAUAACGUCGCAAGACCAAAGUGGGGGACCUUCGGGCCUCACACCAUCGGAUGUGCCCAGAUGGGAUUAGCUAGUAGGUGGGGUAAUGGCUCACCUAGGCGACGAUCCCUAGCUGGUCUGAGAGGAUGACCAGCCACACUGGAACUGAGACACGGUCCAGACUCCUACGGGAGGCAGCAGUGGGGAAUAUUGCACAAUGGGCGCAAGCCUGAUGCAGCCAUGCCGCGUGUAUGAAGAAGGCCUUCGGGUUGUAAAGUACUUUCAGCGGGGAGGAAGGCGGUGAGGUUAAUAACCUUGCCGAUUGACGUUACCCGCAGAAGAAGCACCGGCUAACUCCGUGCCAGCAGCCGCGGUAAUACGGAGGGUGCAAGCGUUAAUCGGAAUUACUGGGCGUAAAGCGCACGCAGGCGGUCUGUUAAGUCAGAUGUGAAAUCCCCGGGCUUAACCCUGGGAACUGCAUUUGAAACUGGCAGGCUUGAGUCUCGUAGAGGGGGGUAGAAUUCCAGGUGUAGCGGUGAAAUGCGUAGAGAUCUGGAGGAAUACCGGUGGCGAAGGCGGCCCCCUGGACGAAGACUGACGCUCAGGUGCGAAAGCGUGGGGAGCAAACAGGAUUAGAUACCCUGGUAGUCCACGCCGUAAACGAUGUCGACUUGGGAGGUUGUGCCCUUGAGGCGUGGCUUCCGGAGCUAACGCGUUAAGUCGACCGCCUGGGGAGUACGGCCGCAAGGUUAAAACUCAAAUGAAUUGACGGGGGCCCGCACAAGCGGUGGAGCAUGUGGUUUAWUUCGAUGCAACGCGAAGAACCUUACCUGGCCUUGACAUCCAGAGAACUUAGCAGAGAUGCUUUGGUGCCUUCGGGAACUCUGAGACAGGUGCUGCAUGGCUGUCGUCAGCUCGUGUUGUGAAAUGUUGGGUUAAGUCCCGCAACGAGCGCAACCCUUAUCCUUUGUUGCCAGCGGCUCGGCCGGGAACUCAAAGGAGACUGCCGGUGAUAAACCGGAGGAAGGUGGGGAUGACGUCAAGUCAUCAUGGCCCUUACGGCCAGGGCUACACACGUGCUACAAUGGCGCAUACAAAGAGAAGCGACCUCGCGAGAGCAAGCGGACCUCAUAAAGUGCGUCGUAGUCCGGAUUGGAGUCUGCAACUCGACUCCAUGAAGUCGGAAUCGCUAGUAAUCGUAGAUCAGAAUGCUACGGUGAAUACGUUCCCGGGCCUUGUACACACCGCCCGUCACACCAUGGGAGUGGGUUGCAAAAGAAGUAGGUAGCUUAACCUUCGGGAGGGCGCUUACCACUUUGUGAUUCAUGACUGGGGGA
rnacentral:rRNA from 1 species